UGUCCUUAGUUACCAGCACGUUAUGGUGGGCACUCUAAGGAGACUGCCGGUGACAACCGGAGGAAGGUGGGGAGUGACGUCAAGUCAUCAUGGCCCUUACGGCCUGGGCUACACACGUGCUACAAUGGUCGGUACAAAGGGUUGCCAAGCCGCGAGGUGGAGCUAAUCCCAUAAAACCGAUCGUAGUCCGGAUCGCAGUCUGCAACUCGACUGCGUGAAGUCGGAAUCGCUAGUAAUCGUGAAUCAGAAUGUCACGGUGAAUACGUUCCCGGGCCUU
rnacentral:rRNA from 1 species